GAAAAUAGUGCCUAUAUAUAAAUAGUCCAAAUUUUUUCUUGGGUAAAAAGCAAAUUCUAUAUGUGCUGAAGUAUUUAUUCUGCACAUGUUAUUAAUUCACUCAUCUGUGGAUAUUAGAAAGAUAUUUACAAUGUUUUGUGAUGUAUUGUUUGGAAACAGGAAGCCACAAUAGGAGGUAGGUAUUGUGGGUAUGUUGCGGAUUAAUUUUUUCACCGACCUUGACAUUGGUAGAAACAGCUGACUGGCAUUUCACUAGGAACUAUUCAACACCAUGUUUUCUGUUUGUUUUUCAUUUGCAGACACAUGGAACUAAAGAGAAAAGAAUUAAACAUCUGGUUCAGUUCAAGGGGACGGUACAGUCUAUUAGUCAAAAGGUCAGGGUGUACAUCCAUGUUAUCUGGUACAGAGUAAUCAUCAGACAGUGUUCUAGUCUCAGCCAAGCUGCGAAGUGGUACAGCAUUGGUGUCAGUACCAUCAACAUCUUUAAAG
rnacentral:lncRNA from 1 species